AAAUCAAUGGUAAAAUAACUGUCUUGUUGGUACAGAAUUCCAGAAAUUGUGGAGGAGUGUCACUGUGGACUCAAUGGAUGAGGAGAAAAUUGAAGAGUAUCUGAAGCGGCAGGGUAUUUCUUCCAUGCAGGAAUCUGGACCAAAGAAAGUGGCCUCUAUUCAGAGAAGGAAAAAGCCUGCUUCACAGAAAAAGCGUCGGUUUAAGACUCAUAAUGAACACUUGGCUGGAGUGCUGAAGGAUUACUCGGACAUAACCCCUGGCAAAUAGAGAACACUUUUGUCUUCAAACAAGGUUCAGACACAGUCAAGAUUUUUCUUGUUGAUGUUUGGAAUCUGAAAACUGUCUUUCCAUCUGCUGCUUAGGACUGAAGAGAGGAGCAGUUCAGUUUACAGAACAAGUGCAAAUUACCAAACUCAGAGUUUAUUUUAAUUCAGUAGGCUAUUUAAUUCAAAUACGGUAUUCCUGUUAACUCUGCUACGGUUCUGGGAGAAAGGCACUUGGUAUGGCAUGCAGGUCUCUUUGCUGUUCACCCAGUUUCUAAAUGGUUCCUGCUUCCAUGUCUCCUCCUCAUUGCUUUAUAGCAAGUUGGCAGGUAGUCUUGAAUGCAGUAUUUGUUUAUUCCAAAAGAAAAUAUUUAUAAUAAAAUCAUUUGUAAGAGGAUUUUUAAGAAA